CCUACGGGGGGCUGCAGUGAGGAAUAUUGGUCAAUGGGCGAGAGCCUGAACCAGCCAAGUCGCGUGAGGGAGUACUGCCCUAUGGGUUGUAAACCUCUUUUGUCGGGGAGCAAAAGCCGGACGUGUUCGGCUGUGAGAGUACCCGAAGAAAAAGCAUCGGCUAACUCCGUGCCAGCAGCCGCGGUAAUACGGGGGAUGCGAGCGUUAUCCGGAUUUAUUGGGUUUAAAGGGUGCGCAGGCGGAUUUUUAAGUCAGCGGUCAAAUCGUGGGGCUCAACCCCAUCCAGCCGUUGAAACUGGGAGUCUCGAGUGGGCGAGAGGUAUGCGGAAUGCGUGGUGUAGCGGUGAAAUGCAUAGAUAUCGCGCAGAACCCCGAUUGCGAAGGCAGCAUGCCGGUGCAACACUGACGCUGAGGCACGAAAGCGUGGGUAUCGAACAGGAUUAGAUACCCGAGUAGUC
rnacentral:rRNA from 1 species